CUAGCGACUUCAGAGUUUGAUCCGUGGCUCAGGACGAACGCUGGCGGCGUGCCUAACACAUGCAAGUCGAACGGGGUCAUCCUUCGGGGUGACUUAGUGGCGAACGGGUGAGUAACGCGUGAAGAACCUGCCUUUCAGUGGGGGACAACAGUUGGAAACGACUGCUAAUACCGCAUAAUGUCACUUGGGGGCAUCCCCGAAUGACCAAAGAUUUAUUGCUGAAAGAUGGCUUCGCGUCUGAUUAGCUAGUUGGUGAGGUAACGGCUCACCAAGGCGACGAUCAGUAGCCGGUCUGAGAGGAUGAACGGCCACAUUGGGACUGAGAUACGGCCCAG
rnacentral:rRNA from 1 species